UACGUAGGGGGCAAGCGUUGUCCGGAUUUAUUGGGCGUAAAGAGCGUGUAGGCGGCCCGGUAAGUCCGCUGUGAAAGUCCAGGGCUCAACCCUGGGAUGCCGGUGGAUACUGUCGGGCUCGAGUCCGGAAGAGGAGUGUGGAAUUCCUGGUGUAGCGGUGGAAUGCGCAGAUAUCAGGAGGAACACCAAUAGCGAAGGCAGCUCGCUGGGACGUUACUGACGCUGAGGCGCGAAAGCGUGGGGAGCGAACAGG
rnacentral:rRNA from 1 species